rnacentral:lncRNA from 1 species
CCACACAUACCGCACGGACAAGCUGUUCGGGGUCAAAAGUGUGGCCAGUGAAAUUCUAUGAAGAACAUCUUGCCAUAAAGGCGCAAUAAAAGGAGGAAUUGCUCAGCUUGUGACUGUAUACCCUGUAAAGCAAAUACGCCUACAAUGAGAAUCUUACUGUAUAUUGCCAUGGGCUGGUUUCUGGUAUGCAUGAUUACAGCGGACGAGGAUGACGAAUCAGGUGACAAGCGUCAAGGUGGAUCCUCAGAUGAAGAGCAUUCAUCUCGGUCAAAGCCAAAAGUAACGAACGAUGAUGAAGAUGACGGGGAGACUCGGAGAAGACGGAGGCGCAGGUCUAAGCCAAGAAAGGUUUAUG